UCCUUGUUUUGCUUUGCUUGUGUGUGUGGCUUUUGCUUUCCCUAUUCAACUGUCCUUAUCUCAACCUAAUCUUGUUAAAGAUUUAUUAAGUGACAGCUGCUCCCACACAGGCUACAUGACUUUUGAAGACUGAUCUACCCUGCUUAACCUGCCUUUUACAGGGUGAUAUGGUGCAAAAUAAGAGUUUCUACCCCAGAGCCAGCACAAGUAGGAUUUAAUAAUUGCUGCUUUCCUAAAAAUGCAUGAACUAGCAUUAAUGCUAAUGGUAGCAUCGGGGAAAUGAUCACUGUUUAUGUGUGUGGGGCUUGAUGUUAUUUAGAGACUUGGCAGAGCUGUGGCUUCUUUUCUAGCCCACCUUCAGAAAGUGGAAGCAAUGCAUAUUUUUUGCUUGUUGCCACGGAGGAGCCCCAUCUCUUCAUCCCUAUUAUUUUUUGGCUCCAAAAGUACUACAAAUGUCACUGAUUAAAACAAGCAUGGUACCUUCUUAGUAUGAUUUUGCAUUUCUUCUUCCUGCAGGCAAGAGAAUGAGUGCACUUGCUGUACACCCAAGCUCUGAAGGAGCAGUCCAGCAUUUGAGCACUGAGUGCCUACAGGCAGAGUGGGGUGUGCUCUGAAGGGUGCUGGUGUUUCAGAACGCAGCCUUCCUUCCAGCCUGUUCCUACAGAUACGUGGGGAAGACACCACAAGGAAAUGCAGGAAUGAAAAUGAUAAACAGAGCCAUGGACUGGGCACCUCUUCUGCUGCCCAGGGAUCCCCAAUCCAGUGCACAAGGAAAACAGCAGAAAGCAGACACUUCUGCCUUGUGGAUUUACCCCAUUUAUUGAAGGCAAACAGAUGGCAAAUAACUGGAACACAGAAAAGUUGUAAUCUGACUUUGGCCUCUGAUUUUCCUGUGUGAUUGACACCACAAUGAAGGAAAAAAAAAUUUGUGUAUUAAAAAAAAAAAACAGUGAGAGGAUUAAAAGAAUGUUG